rnacentral:rRNA from 1 species
CCUACGGGUGGCAGCAGUAGGGAAUAUUGCUCAAUGGAGGCAACCCUGAACCAGCAACGCCGCGUGAAGGAUGAAGGUUUUCGGAUUGUAAACUCCUUUUGUUAGAGAAGAUAAUGACGGUAUCUAACGAAUAAGCACCGGCUAACUCCGUGCCAGCAGCCGCGGUAAUACGACGGGGGCAACAGUUACUCGGAAUCACUGGGCGGAAAGAGCGCGUAGGCGGGAUAGCAAGUCAGAUGUGAAAUCCUAUGGCUUAACCAUAGAACUGCAUUUGAAACUGUUAUUCUUGAGUAUGGGAGAGGUAGGUGGAAUUCUUGGUGUAGGGGUAAAAUCCGUAGAGAUCAAGAGGAAUACUCAUUGCGAAGGCGACCUGCUAGAACAUAACUGACGCUGAUGCGCGAAAGCGUGGGGAGCAAACAGGAUUAGAUACCCCAGUAGUC